AGGUGCGCAGCUGUGUGGCCUUAGUUUUGCAAAAACUACUGAGAAAGUAAUAUUUCCGUGCCUU
rnacentral:tRNA from 1 species